rnacentral:ncRNA from 1 species
ACGAACGAGACUCUGGCUUGCUAAAUAGUUACGCGACCAUCCCCGUCGGCGUUUAACUUCUUAGAGGGACAAGUGGCGUUUAGCCACACGAGACUGAGCAAUAACAGGUCUGUGAUGCCCUUAGAUGUUCGGGGCCGCACGCGCGCUACACUGACCGGAUCAGCGUGUGCUCUCCUUGGCCGACAGGUCCGGGAAACCCGUUGAACCCCGGUCGUGCUAGGGAUAGGGAAUUGCAAUUAUUUCCCUUGAACGAGGAAUUCCCAGUAAGCGCGAGUCAUUAGCUCGCGUUGAUUACGUCCCUGCCCUUUGUACACACCGCCCGUCGCUACUACCGAUUGAAUGGUUUAGUGAGGUCCUCCGAUUGGACCCGGUCCGGGCGGCGACGUCCGAGCCGGCGUCCGAGAAGACGAUCUAACUUGAUCAUUUAGAGGAAGUAAAAGUCGUAACAAGGUUUCCGUAGGUGAACCUGCGGAAGGAUCAUUA